AUUGAACGCUGGCGGAAUGCUUUACACAUGCAAGUCGAACGGCAGCACGGACUUCGGUCUGGUGGCGAGUGGCGAACGGGUGAGUAAUGUAUCGGAACGUGCCCAGUCGUGGGGGAUAACGUAGUGAAAAUUACGCUAAUACCGCAUACGAUCUAUGGAUGAAAGCGGGGGAUCGCAAGACCUCGCGCGAUUGGAGCGGCCGAUAUCAGAUUAGGUAGUUGGUGGGGUAAAGGCCCACCAAGCCAACGAUCUGUAGCUGGUCUGAGAGGACGAACCGCCACCCUGGAACGAAGACACGGUCCAGACUCCUACGGGAGGCAGCAGUGGGGAAUUUUGGACAAUGGGCGAAAGCCUGAUCCAGCCACUCCGCGUGAAGGAUGAAGGCCCUCGGGUUGUAAACUGCUUUUGUACAGAACGAAAAGGUUUCUACUAAUACUAGGAGCUCAUGACGGUACUGUAAGAAUAAGCACCGGCUAACUACGUGCCAGCCGCCGCAGUAA
rnacentral:rRNA from 1 species